CACGAAGGGGGCUAGCGUUGCUCGGAAUCACUGGGCGUAAAGGGUGCGUAGGCGGGUCUUUAAGUCAGGGGUGAAAUCCUGGAGCUCAACUCCAGAACUGCCUUUGAUACUGAGGAUCUUGAGUUCGGGAGAGGUGAGUGGAACUGCGAGUGUAGAGGUGAAAUUCGUAGAUAUUCGCAAGAACACCAGUGGCGAAGGCGGCUCACUGGCCCGAUACUGACGCUGAGGCACGAAAGCGUGGGAGCAAACAGGG
rnacentral:rRNA from 1 species